ACACAGUUUAACAUGAUGGACUAUAGGACAGGACUGCUGCUUUUAACCAUCUACUGGGCAGGUGUUGAUGGUCAGACUCUGACAGAAUCUGAAUCAGCAGUUAAAAAACCUGGAGAAUCCCACAAACUGACCUGUACAGCCUCUGGGCUUGACUUUGAUAGCUCUUGGAUGGCCUGGAUCAGACAGGCUCCUGGAAAAGGACUGGAGUGGAUUGCAAUCAUCGAAUAUGACAGUGACUCAAUCUACUACUCUCAGUCAGUUCAAGGCCGGUUCACCAUCUCCAGAGACAACAGCAGAGAGCAGCUGUAUCUGCAGAUGAACAGCGUGAAGACUGAAGAUUCUGCUGUUUAUUAUUGUGCUCGAUGGCCACAGUGA